rnacentral:rRNA from 2 species
CAUGUCUUUUUGAUUAUAAUUUAAGGUUUAAUCUGCUCAAUGAGGAGUUAAAUUGCCGCGGUAUAUUGACCGUGCAAAGGUAGCAUAAUAAUUAGUUUUUUUAUUGAAAGCUGGAAUGAAUGAUUGGACGAGAAAACUUCUGUCUCUUUAUAAUUUAUUUUUUAAUUUAACUUUUAAGUAAAAAGGCUUAAAUUUUUGUUAAAGACGAGAAGACCCUAUAGAGUUUAAUAUUUUAAUUUUUUAAUUUUUAUUUGGUAUAAAAAAAUUUUAUUAAAUUGAAUAUUUAGUUGGGGUGACUAAAAAAUUUAUUUAACUUUUUUAAAUUGUUAAUCAAUGAUUAUUGAAUAUAAAAUCUAAUGUUUUUAAAUAUAAGAUAAAUUACCUUAGGGAUAACAGCGUAAUUUUCUUUUAAAGUUCUUAUUAAAAGGAAAGUUUGCGACCUCGAUGUUGGAUUAAAAUUAAUUUUUGGUGUAGAAGCUAAAAAAUUAAGUCUGUUCGACUUUUAAAAUUUUACAUGAUCUGAGU